rnacentral:rRNA from 1 species
GCAGAGACCGGCGCACGGGUGCGUAACGCGUAUGCAAUCUACCUUUCACAGAGGGAUAGCCCAGAGAAAUUUGGAUUAAUACCUCAUAGUAUAUAUGAUUGGCAUGAUUUCUCUAUUAAAGUCACAACGGUGAAAGAUGAGCAUGCGUCCCAUUAGCUAGUUGGUAAGGUAACGGCUUACCAAGGCAACGAUGGGUAGGGGUCCUGAGAGGGAGAUCCCCCACACUGGUACUGAGACACGGACCAGACUCCUACGGGAGGCAGCAGUGAGGAAUAUUGGACAAUGGGCGCAAGCCUGAUCCAGCCAUGCCGCGUGCAGGAUGACGGUCCUAUGGAUUGUAAACUGCUUUUAUACGAGAAGAAACCCUCCGACGUGUCGGAGCUUGACGGUAUCGUAAGAAUAAGGAUCGGCUAACUCCGUGCCAGCAGCCGCGGUAAUACGGAGGAUCCAAGCGUUAUCCGGAAUCAUUGGGUUUAAAGGGUCCGUAGGCGGUCAGGUAAGUCAGUGGUGAAAGCCCAUCGCUCAACGGUGGAACGGCCAUUGAUACUGUCUGACUUGAAUUAUUAGGAAGUAACUAGAAUAUGUAGUGUAGCGGUGAAAUGCUUAGAGAUUACAUGGAAUACCAAUUGCGAAGGCAGGUUACUACUAAUGGAUUGACGCUGAUGGAC